UUUAAACGUAGCUUAUGCUUUUCCUUGAAAAACAGACCUAGUGUCCUGAUACAUCAGCUGGCAGCACCCUUGUAAUGACAACCCAAGCAGCAGCUGCAUAUGGGAAAGGUUAAUUAUUCCCAGCAGCACCUUCCUCUGGGAGCCAGGAGUUUAUCAGGGAUAAACAGUCAGGGUUUGGGCCUGCCAGGUUGGCCACCCUGGCUCUUCUUGCUGAGGACAGUGAGGAUGUGAUGACAGAGCCAGCCCAGCCAGGACCUGGAGCAGUGGUGAAGGACUGCCACAGCUGCAGUGGGAGAGCAGAGAGAUUUAGUGAAACAGAGCCUAUGAGCAAGCUGGAAAUCUUCCUAGCACCUGGGAGAUGUGAUCAUCUGAUAGCUACAUUAACAGCAGUGUGGGAUUGGGAUACUUCACUGAUCAGCAUAACAUGAAAAAACCUUAUAGAAUAAUUCAGCAACACAAGCUCUCAGUGGUGUCUGGAAAAUAGCUCGGGAUAUGUGUAGGAUGAAACACUGCAUAAUUAGAAGGGUGAAUUUGUACAAAAAGGAAGAGAAAACUUGAAGUCUCUGUAAACACAUCAUGAGGUUUCUGGCAGACAUGGACAGAGACUGUGGAUCAGGUAAGUAAGUGUUGAAAUGGUUAACUGGAUAGAAAGAGGAAAG